rnacentral:rRNA from 1 species
CGACUUUGAUCCUGGCUCAGGACGAACGCUGGCGGCGUGCUUAACACAUGCAAGUCGAACGAGAGGAGAAGGAAGCUUGCUUCUUUCAAAUCUAGUGGCAAACGGGUGAGUAACACGUAAACAACCUGCCUUCAGGAUGGGGACAACAGACGGAAACGACUGCUAAUACCGAAUACGUUCCUUAGGUCGCAUGACUUUAGGAAGAAAGGGUGCCUCUACUUGUAAGCUAUCGCCUGAAGAGGGGUUUGCGUCUGAUUAGGUAGUUGGUGAGGUAACGGCCCACCAAGCCGACGAUCAGUAGCCGGUCUGAGAGGAUGAACGGCCACACUGGAACUGAGACACGGUCCAGACUCCUACGGGAGGCAGCAGUGGGGAAUCUUCCGCAAUGGGCGAAAGCCUGACGGAGCAACGCCGCGUGAGUGAUGACGGCCUUCGGGUUGUAAAGCUCUGUGAUCGGGGACGAACGGUCAGCAGACGAAUACUCUGCUGAAGUGACGGUACCCGAAUAGCAAGCCACGGCUAACUACGUGCCAGCAGCCGCGGUAAUACGUAGGUGGCAAGCGUUGUCCGGAAUUAUUGGGCGUAAAGCGCGCGCAGGCGGCUUCUUAAGUCCAUCUUAAAAGUGCGGGGCUUAACCCCGUGAUGGGAUGGAAACUGAGAGGCUGGAGUAUCGGAGAGGAAAGUGGAAUUCCUAGUGUAGCGGUGAAAUGCGUAGAGAUUAGGAAGAACACCGGUGGCGA